GAAAAACCUGUUGACAGAGAGAAGGUAGCUACUAGCUAACCAACUGCAUUUGGAUAAUGUUAGCUCGGAACGCUAGCUACAGCUAGCUGGCUGGUUAGCUAGGUUUUGAGCAGUGGUUUAUAUACACUAGAAUACCGAUAGGGGCCGCUAAAUUGAAGCCACGGUGCCACCAUCUUGGUGCUCCCCCACAAUUGUAAAACAUAUUUUGGAACCUAUAGAAAUGGAUUUAUUCAUUGCGUACAUUCGUUUUUGCCACAUUUAUUAUAUUAGACACCCUAAUGCAUCAUUUAACAUGGUAAACAAAAACAUCUAAAUAUAUAAAAUGUUCCUUAAAGUAUACGUUUUAAUACUUACUGUCCCCACUAUAACAAAGAUACAUGUAAUUGUACUUAAAACAAUUGAAAUACUGUAGAAUUCCAUUAAUCCCUAUGGAGGACUGCUCCCACUGGGGAGUGACAAUAUGGCCUCUUGAUGGCCAAUACAUAGCAUCAGCAAUCCAUGGUUUAUAUACAUUAUUGGUUUUGAGGCACUCAUGCCAUGCUGUUCUGUUAGCUAGACCAGGUAUUCCCAAACUGGGGUAUGCGAAGCCAGUGAAUUCUAUGUGGUACAUCUGGAUGAGUCAACAGACGUGGUGGGCCUGACACAGCUCCUGGUAUAUGUCCGUUACAUUUAUGGGGGAUCAAUUAAGGAAGACAUCCUCCCCCACGGGUACGCCAAAUAAAAAUGUGAUUCACAUUUUUUUUAAAAUAAUUUUAUUACAUUUAAAAAAAAAAAUGUUUCUUCACAUUUUCAAACAGUCCAUUUAUAUUUUCCAAGGGGGCUAUACAUUUGGGUGAGGUUUUUUUGUCACCUGACUAGCCAUGUUUCACUGCCAAAAAUAAAAUUAAACCAUCUAGUGUUCAGUGAAAUAACAACACUGUCAAAUACAGGUAGCCUAGUCAAAUAAUGAACAUCCAAUCACCUGAACCGUUACUCUCUCGUGGGUGAAACCUUCAGUCUUGCGCAGACUUUUAGAAACGAAACAUGCCAAUUAAAAAAAAUAAGCCACGAGUCUUUUGAGCGAGAGUAAGACAUGUACAAAAGCCACAGAAACCCAUUAAAAGAAGGGGCUAGGUGGAAGAUUGGCCACCCGUGACUUUUUCAAACAGUGGGAGGCAUAAAGAAAUGCCUACGGCUUUGUACGCAGCGGCAGGCUUGCAUGUAUCGGAGUUCUGAUGAUUUUGUCGGAAUCAAUGUGUGUAAAAAAAAUUUGCCUACAGACGUGUCCACUUCUACUGAGAGUAUUCACCACCUAGUGGCAGGCAUCACUCAAACGGUGGUGGUAAUGCACGUAAUUUAUGAAAGUUGCCAGAUCUGGGGAGAGUUACCAAAAAAAUCUUUGCAGCAUUGAAGGUCCCCAAGAACAGUGGCCUCCAUCAUUCUUAAAUGGAGGAAGUUUGGAACCACCAAGACUCUCCCUAGAGGUGGCCGCCCAGCCAAACUGAGCAAUCGGGGGAGAAGGGCCUUGGUCAGGGAGGUGACCAAGAACCUGAUGGUAAUGCUGACAGAGCUCCAGAGUUCAUCUGUGGAGAUGGGAGAACCUUACAGAAGGACCAACAUCGCUACAGCUCUCCGCCAAUCAGGCCUUUAUGGUAGUGGCCAGACAGAAGACACUCCUCAGUAAAAGGCACAUGAUGGCCAGUUUGGACUUUUGGCACCUGAAGGACUCAGACUAUGAGAAACAAGAUUUUCUGGUCUGAUGAAAACAAGAUUGAACUCUUUGACCUGAAUGCCAAGUGUCACGUCUGGAGGAAACCUACCGCCAUCCCUACGGUGAAGCAUGGUGGUGGCAGCAUCAUGCUAUGGGGGUGUUUUCAGCAGCAGGGACUGGGAGACUAGUCAGGAUUGAGGGAAAGAUGAAUGGAGCAGAGAGAUCCUUGAUGAAGUCCUAAACACUCUGGGGCAGGUUCUCAGACUGGGGCGAAGGUUCACCUUCCAACAGGACAACGACCCUAAGCACACAGCCACGACAACGCACGAGUGGCUUCGGGACAAGCUUCUGAAUGUCUUUUAGUGGCCCAGCCAGAGCCCUGACUUCUCUGUUGAGACCUGAAAAUAGCUGUGCAGCGAUGCUCCAUAUCCAACCUGACAGAGCUUGAGAGGAUCUAUAGAGAAUAAUCAAAUUAACUCCCCAAAUACAGGUGUGCCAAGCUUGAAGCGUCAUAACUAAGAAGACUCGAGGCUGUAAUCGCUGCCAAAGAUGCUUCAACAUAGUACUGAGUAAAGGGUCUGAAUAUUUAUGUAAAGAAGGUAUUUCAGUGUUUUAUUUUAACCUGUUUUCACUUUGUCAUUGUGGGGUAUUGUGUGUUGAUGAGGAAAACAAAUAAUUUAAUACAUUUUAUAAUAAGGCUGUAAUGUAACAACAAAAAGUCAAGGCCUACUCAAAUGAUGGUCAGUAAAUGGGACCUCACUCAGUAGUGUCGAGUCAUUUGGGAGGUUUAAGAAGGUGGGGAAUGUCAUUUUAAUUCCGAUCAGGUAUGCGUCCGUGAAGGGAUUUUAUACAUGGCGCUGGUACCUACUCCCUGCACAUGCUACAGCCUCUUCAGCUCAGUCAGACACAAGAAGUACAUGGGGGCUUUGAUGCCCACCUCCGUGAUCCUCUUCAGCUCCUCCAUCAGAAACCCUGCAUGACCACCUGAGGCAACAGAGUCCCAAAAUACAUUUCUGUGGCACUGUUGAUCUUCUGAAUGGCCUGGUUGAGGCUGGACAGAGGAAUCUGUCUCACGUAGCUUGGAAUACUUUCUGACACCAUGGCCAGACACCGCCCUGGAGGGAAGACUUUCUGACACCAUGGCCUGACACAGCCCUGAGAGAAGACUGACACCGCCCUGGAGGGAAGACUUUCUGACACCAUGGCCAGACACCGCCCUGGAGGGAAGACUUUCUGACACCAUGGCCUGACACAGCCCUGAGAGAAGACUGACACCGCCCUGGAGGGAAGAUUUGGGCCCUGGAGGAAUGACAAAAAGAAAGCAGAGGUUUGACUAGUAUGCAGUGUUGCUGAACUACUGCUGUGGGGAGUUUCUUGCUCUGGGAAAUGAGCUGUGAGAUGAAAGACAAAACCCAUCAUCAGAACCAGUCAGCACAGAAGGUAAAAUAACAUCUCUCUAAAAGCCCACUUGGUAGUACAGACACUGAAGCCCUUGCACCCCUAUCUGUGCACAGGAAAGGCAGUUCCCACAUCUUCUACUCCACAAGUCUCCAGUGCAAUCAUCUUAAAGAGGUCCUGUGUGACAGAGCUUAGGUCCGGCAUCUCGGGACCGAAUGGCUCGGGGUAAUCCCCUCACCCGCAGGGUACCCAGGUUGGAUGCCUGGGUGGAACCGUCCGGCUCCAGCAUUGAGAGGGGGCUUUCCUGCCCCAUGCUCUACUCCCCACGGGCUCCACCACCACCCCUCUACAGUCAGGGAGAGAAGGGACAGCGAGGCAAAAUAGAUACUCCAACUUAACUAUUACUAUAAGUAAGCACUCAAGUGACUUUAUAGCAGUUUCAGCUUACAAAGGGCAAAGUUGCCCAGAAAGGACUCUAUGCUUGUCAUCUCUGGUGUAGAUUUUUUCCACUGUACAUCCAAUGAUCGAGAUCUCUGGCACAUUAUAUAACCAGGCUUGAUUGGCGCCUCUAUUGGAGGUUGGAAGUUCCAAGUGAUCUUGUUCUUCAUCUGCCUGUGUGUGUCUCACCCUGCAACAUGACAGUUACUCACUAUAUUUGAGUGCAAUUUGUAGUUAUGUCUAUGGUCCAUGCCUCCAUAAAUACAUAAAUAAACAGACAUGUUGACAGAC